AAAACUAUCAAACUCCGAAUGCCGUAUAAUUAUACUUGGGAGUCAGACUAUGUGAGAUAAGUUUCAUAGUCGAAAGGGAAACAGCCCAGACCUACAGCUAAGGUCCCAAAAUAUAAGUUAAGUGGAAAAGGAUGUGAAGUUGCACAAACAGCUAGGAUGUUGGCUUAGAAGCAGCCAUACAUUUAAAGAGUGCGUAAUAGCUCACUAGUCGAGUGAUCCUGCGCCGAAGAUAAACGGGGCUCAAACUUACCACCGAAGCUUUGGAAUUAGUAUAACUAAUUGGUAGAGGAGCAUUCUAUACAGGUAGAAGGAGGCGCGUAAGUAAAUCUGGACGGUAUAGAAGAGAGAAUGUUGGCAUGAGUAGCGUAAGGCGGGUGAGAAUCCCGUCCGCCGAAAAUCUAAGGUUUCCUGAGGAAGGUUCGUCCUCUCAGGGUAAGUCGGGACCUAAGCCGAGAGCGAACGCUGUAGGCGAUGGAUAACAGGUUGAUAUUCCUGUACCACCAAGGAUUGUUUGAAUGAAGUGGGGACACAGAAGGAUAGAUUGAGCACGCCGUUGGUUGAGCGUGUCCAAGCAGUAAGGCUUGAAAGUAGGCAAAUCCGCUUUCUAAAAGGCUGAGCUGUGAUGGGGUGGUCGAAUGACCGGUAGCAAUCGAUUUCACGCUGUCAAGAAAAGCCGCUAAUGAGAUCCAAGGUGCCCGUACCGCAAACCGACACAGGUAGAUGAGGAGAGAAUCCUAAGGUGAGCGAGCGAACUAUUGUUAAGGAACUCGGCAAAAUAACCCCGUAACUUCGGGAGAAGGGGUGCCUGCUUCGGCAGGCCGCAGUGAAAAGGCCCAGGCAACUGUUUACCAAAAACACAGGUCUCUGCAAAAGCGAAAGCUGAAGUAUAGGGGCUGACGCCUGCCCAGUGCUGGAAGGUUAAGGUGAAGUGUAAGGGUAACCGAAGCACAGAACUUAAGCCCCAGUAAACGGCGGCCGUAACUAUAACGGUCCUAAGGUAGCGAAAUUCCUUGUCGGGUAAGUUCCGACCCGCACGAAAGGCGUAAUGAUCUGGGCACUGUCUCAACAAUAGACUCGGUGAAAUUGUAGUACCGGUAAAGAUGCCGGUUACCCGCAGCAGGACGGAAAGACCCCGUGGAGCUUUACUGUAGCUUGAUAUUGAUUUUCGGCAUUGCAUGUACAGGAUAGGUGGGAGACGAAGAAUUCAGCACGCCAGUGUUGAAGGAGUCACCGUUGGGAUACCACCCUUGUAAUGUUGGAAAUCUAACCUAGUACCGUGAUCCGGUACAGGGACAGUGUCAGGUGGGCAGUUUGACUGGGGCGGUCGCCUCCUAAAGAGUAACGGAGGCGCCCAAAGGUUCCCUCAGAGCGGACGGAAAUCGCUCGAAGAGUGUAAAGGCAGAAGGGAGCUUGACUGCGAGACCAACAAGUCGAGCAGGGACGAAAGUCGGGCUUAGUGAUCCGGUGGUUCCGAGUGGAAGGGCCAUCGCUCAACGGAUAAAAGCUACCCCGGGGAUAACAGGCUUAU
rnacentral:rRNA from 1 species